rnacentral:tRNA from 1 species
GGAGGCGUGUCCGGUCUGGUGACCGGCGCGGUCUUCAAAACCGUCGAACGGCAGUCGCUGUCGUUGGCGGGUUCAAUUCCCGUCCGCCUCC